rnacentral:rRNA from 1 species
AACGUAGGUGGCGAGCGUUAUCCGGAUUUACUGGGCGUAAAGCGCGUUCAGGCGGCUUGACAAGUCGGGCAUGAAAUCUCUCGGCUCAACCGGGAGGGGCUGUCCGAUACUGUCGGGCUUGAGGGCAGUAGAGGGUGGUGGAAUUCCGGGUGUAGUGGUGAAAUGCGUAGAUAUCCGGAGGAACACCAGUGGCGAAAGCGGCCACCUGGACUGUACCUGACGCUCAAACGCGAAAGCUAGGGGAGCGAACGGG